CAGCUACCCCUCUGAGACCUAUGAUCAAGAUCAGCUGGAUUGGAGUCUCUAGUGGUACAUAAAGCUGCAUAUUUUCUGUGUGGGUCCAAUGGAAUUAAUUCCCCACCAUGAUCUGAAAUAGUCUGAAUCUGAUAAGAUCCAGGACAUAUGGGAAAGUUCAUCUUAUCCCCAGUCAUCCAAAUAUGAGGGUAGAAGGGAAGGAGACUAUAAGCAUAGGGAUUAUUAUAACUUUCCUGUGUUGCUGCACUUUGGUUAUGUUUGGGCAUUAAUAUUGUGGGGUUGGUUAUGUCAGGAAUACCUAGACCAUAUAGAGUACUGCUCUUGGUUAGCAAGUGUAUAUACAGUACAUCUAACAAAAUAUAUAAAGUGAAUUAACAGAGGUGGUAUAACAUUCCCUUUGCAGCAGAAUAGGAAAUAGUAGCCCCUGUUGCCAGUCUACAAAAUGCUUUUAUUGCUCUCUCACAGCCCAAUCUUACAGACCAGCAGUCAACAGAAACUUUGCCAUUGACUUCAAUAAGCUUUGUAUCAAGCCUUUAUUCUGUACAAGUCUUCUUUCCAGACUCUUUUUGAGGCUACUCCACCUGGAAUCUUGGUAAACUUCUCAACUGCUCACAUUGAUGGUGACUUGUGAUAAACAUAAGGACUACAUAACGGUAUAGCAGGGAGGAAGAGAAAACAUGCACCAAGUACCACCUCAUCAUGGACAAUUACUUGGUCUGCUCCUACCAGUUGGGGUGGAGAUGCAACUUCCUAAGACCAACCACUGAUGAAGAUUUUGAUGGUCCCCGAGGAGGCUUUUCAAAGGCAGUGAGCUGCCCAAAUGCCAUCUUCAUUCAAUACAGAUCAUGCUGCUAGACUGCUGGCCACACGUGUAUUAUCAAGCACUUGAGGCUAGAGAUUGACAGUCACUAUAAAAGGGUGUAUCAUGCUGGCUCCAUAACCUGCUCCUCAAGCCCAUCAGCCUCACUGUUCUCCAGGAUGCUGAUGACAGUCAGGGCAAGGAUGCACUCAGACUGUGAAGGAUGCUCAGAGAAUGAGGAACAUGCCAUUUACCUCCUCUUCCUAAAGGAGCCAGUUGAAGAAUGCCUCUCCUGAUGAACGUGAAGAGUACCCCCAAGCCACAGCUGGACCUAAGGCUGACAAAUUGCAAUGGAUCACCACUACCACCCUCUUGAUCUGGUGUCAAAUUCUGAUUUUAAUAUCAAGGUCAUUUGAAGUACAGUGUACUGACUUUUCCUCCUGGGAUAACAUGCCAAGUAUUUCUACAUCUGUGUGUGUUUGAAAUGCAGUGCAAUAGCCAUGGUAUUGUCAUGUGCCUUCCCUUACCAGUCUCUUCCAACUUAGCGGUCUCCAUCUAGCCCACAGUCUGCUUUACCCCAAAAUGGUCUUUCAGAAACAGAGUUCUGAUUCCAUGAUUAUUUUGAUUUCUGAUGAACAAUUGCAUCUAACUAGCUUCAAAAUUAUUUUUUCACACACUUGGUAAAGAAAAAAAAAUCAGUGAACUCCUGUGUAGGUGCAUUUCUCAGCCAGCAGGAGGGCUGUGGUGGUCCCUGGGGGCUUCGACAGGGAAGAGUAGAAAACUUACAGUUGGUUGUCUAAGGAAAAGUUGGUUACGGCAGUGUUUUCUCCCUUGGAAGAUUGCAAAGUUGUUAUGGUCUCUGUUCCCAGCGUUUGUCUUUCAUGCAUAGCCAGUGGGUAGCAGGAGAGGGAGAAGGAUCUGGACCAGCAGUCAGCUAAAAACAUUUGUCUCUCUCUCCAGUUAUUUGAGAAGAGGGGGUGAUACAUGAUACCCAUGAUACAGUCUGGACUGAUGAACAUCUGUGUUUUCACAGUGCUCCAAGAUGGGUUCCUCUUACAGUAGUCUGCUAUGAGUUUACCACUCCUAGGCUAUGUCUAUACUACGGGGUUUUUCUGGGAUACCACAGGUAUCCUGGAAAAACUCCGCCACGUCCAGGGAAUGUGUCCGCUUUUCCAAAAGAAGAAGCUGUUCCAAAAUUUGGCCCAGUGUAGACAUCAGCCAUUUGUGUACCUUUUUCCGAUAGAUCAUUGUAGCAUAGACAUAGCCCAAGUCUAUUCUCACAAGUUCUCCAGCAGGUAAGAUACCCCAGUUAUCAGUGCUCUAGCCAACCAUUCUUCAAUGACACUGCAGAGCGAUAGCAGAAAAUUCCCAGUCCCAAACUUUCCCAAUAAAUGUGUUUCUUGUAUUGGCCAGCUCCCUCCUAGAGUACACAGGCUUAUAAAGCCUGUUAUUUUAAUAAUAGAAAAUUAUAUGUACAAAUCUUGUUGGCCCAAAUGGAGUUUCCUGAACACUUCAAUCUAAACACACUCAUUAGAUAAAAUAAAAAGUUAAUUAACUAAAAAAGGAUGGAUUUAAGUAGCUAUGAGGAAUAAGAUAUAAAAGUCAGAAUUGGUUACAAGAAAAUAACACUAAAACAAAGUGAAUUCAAAUCAAAGGUAUCUCUCUGUCUUACUGAGUCUUACUGCCUGAAUUCCUUUCAGUCAAUAUCCCUCCUCCAGUCCAAAAUGAUUUCCUUGGUUCUUCAGAUGUGGUGGAUGACAUAGACAGAGAUGGUGUCCCUUCCCUCCUUUUGUUUAGUAUUUAUUCUUCAUGUAGAGGAAUCCUCUAACUUUAUAUGUCACCCAUUUGAUAAGUCUCAGAGGGGUAGUCAUGUUAGUCUGUAAUUUAAAGACAAUAAAUAGUCCCGUAGCACCUUAGAGACUACAAAAAUAUGUAUAUAGUAUCAUGAGCAUUUGUGGGCAAAACCCACUUCCUCAGAUGAACAGAGACAAGGACAUCAGUAUCCUCUUAGUUUUGAAGUGAUACCACACAAGGCAUAUUUUAUACAGAAGUUAUUGUGGACCUGUAAAGGGAGUGAACAUAGGUGGUGCAGAUUACUACAGAGGGGUUACAAAGCCAACCAGAAUAAUCAGGAAACCUAGUGCAGAUGAGUUAUCUGUUUGUCCUUCCUUUUCCAUUUCAUCAUUGUUAAGUAGGCACAAGACCAAGAUUUUCAAGUAAAACUGGGUUGUUUGAAUGGGAGUGGUUCACAAUCUCCUUUUGAAUGAAACUUCCUUAUGCUAAAACAUAACAGUCAAUUUCCAGUGGAAUUGCCCUCCAAUCCAAUAAGCAUGUACCAUUAAACUUCUGUUCCAACAAAAUUCUAAUUGGUCCUUAAGUAUUAUCAAUAUUGCAAAACUGCUUUUCCACCUUCAUCACUAAAUGAACCGAUCUAGUCAGCAAUAUGUAGAAGGAUGACCUUUAGCAGAAACCAGUUUCUGUCAUAGAUUUCAGUCCCGUGGAGAAGAUCUGGCAAAGCCAUAGCUUUUUCCACUUUGUUACUUGGAGACCAUAGCAUUUUUCAAAAUGUUGGCUAGAUUUAAGGGAAAAAUAUUGUAAACUGGUGUAACAGCCCCUGGAAGAAAUUACCCAUGCCCCCUUACUCCCAUUGAGCCACUGUGGACAUUUUAAAUUCUUUAAUACACUAGCACACUUUUCUUAUCAGUACUAGCCCUGACUCGGAUCUCAAAAGCUGCAAAAGUUGUUUGAAAUGCAAGGAUAGAGAGAUAGCCAUAUUACUAGAAUGAGGAAGAGAAUCAAAAUUGUGGUUAUCAGGUGAAAAAUUAUUUAUGUGAGUGUUAUUUCUCAGCUUCUUUCAAAUAUCCACAAUAUAACAUUCCUCUACUCUAUCAACUGGUAGCACCUAGGGCUACCAAGGAGAAAAAAGCCAUCAAGAGGGCAGGAGUAUCACUCCAGAAACAUCAGAAGUAGACAGAAAAGGCUCCUUGUGGAGAUGCUCAUAGGAAUGGAACAAAGAAACCAAGAGCAGUUUGUAUUCUUUGAGAUGUGGAAGGAGCUCUCUCUUCAGGAAAAGACAGAAAAAUGAGGAACAUGAGUAUUCAUUGAACCAGCAACCAAAAGAGUCCUCCAGAUACAGUAGCCUUAGAAGCAGACUGUCAGUGGCUGUCUCCUCCUCCAGAAUAUCACAAUAUACUGGCACCCAAUAUACUGGCACCACUCUCAGAACAGGUCCCCACUUCUUACAGCGCAUCAUUGUCUAUGGUCAUUCAUUCCCUCUGGAGGAGGAAGAGAAGAAUAGGGGUGCAAAUACAUUAAACUAUGGGCAGUGCUUGCCAUUGUAAACCCUUGUUGUAGUUGUAAUACCAAAAUAUUUCCAU